UCUUUUAUAUAUUUCUUUUCUUUUCUAUAUUAUAGAAACAAUGGUUUCAGCAUGUCUGCUAGAGUGCUAGAAGUCAUUUAAGGAAAGCUCAGGGUAGCUUAGUCUUUACCUAAGUAAAUGAGUUAUUACUAAUCACACUUACGUGACUUUUGGUAAUUACUUAUACAUCUACGUGCAUAUUCAGAUCAUUACGUGUCUAUUUGUUUCUCCGAUGUUCUCGAGACUAUCUGUGAAUGCUGUUGCUCUCAAGGGCGUUGUAUCCUAAGUGUUAAGGUUAUUAUGUAUGAUGGACACCUUCACUCGUUGAUAUGUAGUUUCCUUGGGUUGUUGGAGGGAUUGCAGGAGGGAAGCUACAGAAUGAAUUGGAUAAUGAAGCUUAUUUGGAUGAGAAUCGCAGGCCUUUUAAAAAUAUGCAGUUCUUUGUCAAUGUAUUGUAUCCACUGCUUUAUUCCAUUUUGUAUAGGAUUUCAUUUAAUUGGUAAUUUCUACGCUUUCAGAAUCAAAACACACUGGCAUAUUGGAUGAUCCUUUUGAGAAUCUUUCCCAACGUGCUGACUUGAUUCAAAAUGCUUCGCCUGAAGGAAAUCCAAAAGAUGAGGAGAGAUGUGUGUUUUACUCAAUGUGGCAAUUCAAGGUGGAACACUUGCUUUUCCAUGCCUUCACCAGCUGCUAUAAGAGUAAGGGCACACUCACUAUGACACUCUUCUAUGGGUGACUUCUACUAGGAAGGAAUUUUUGAAGGAAACACUGGUGUAAGACUGAAUAGUUGAAUAUGCGUACAAAAAGGACAGCCCGCUGUAAGUAUCCAUAUGAAUACGAACCAGAUGUCGUACAAACUGGAGCAGCCCAAGAGGGGAGAGCAGGAUUUCCUAAUGAGCCAGUGACUCUCUUUGUUACCAAAGAUUCUUACAAGUAUAAGGUUGUCCUGCCGGUUGUCUCGAGAAACCUGUGCAAAUUGUUAGUUGAAGUUCUGUAUAAUGGCGAAUUCAAGGUAGGAGGGAUGGUAAGUGCUGGUGAAAUAACAAGCACUGUGGCGCCAAUUACGCUUAUUAGAAACACUCGACGGAUAUUUCCUCCUGGUCACUUCACUAUCAGUUUCACUUUGCCAAUACCUGCUGAUCCAGAGAGUUUAACAGCCUGGUUACUCUCAGAUGGCGUUUUGGAAGUGUGUUGCUUGGAAUUUCUGAAAGUGAUGGCGAUAGUGAGAUGAUUGAAAUGUCCAGAAAUCCGCCCUGGAUAAUCUGUUGCUUGUUUUUCUUAUCCCAUUGAUGAGAAUGAUGUCUGGGGAAGUAGGAACUUCCGAAUUUUCGCAACCAAACUCAUGGGAUGAGCAAGUGAAAGUUGUAUAUUUUGUGUACAUGUAAGAGCCAAAAGUAUAUUGGGUUCUUGUAAAUGUGGCAGUGCUAGUUUUUGCAAAACUAUCAGCUAUUUUUGCGUUGUAACUAACUAUCAUAUUGCUGAAGCACUUCAAUGUUGGAAGUGACCAAAUGUAUUUUGCUUUCUUGUAAAUGUAGUGGUCACCUUUUCUGUACAAGUAUGCUUCAAAGUUACUUAGUAGCAAGUAAAUAUUUUGGUGUUGAACAAUGCCACAUUGAAAGUUGUACUUUUCAUGAAUAUAAAUAUAGUUCUGGUA